rnacentral:rRNA from 1 species
UCCGCGCUGCAUUAGCUAGUUGGUAAGGUAACGGCUUACCAAGGCAACGAUGCAUAGCCGACCUGAGAGGGUGAUCGGCCACACUGGAACUGAGACACGGUCCAGACUCCUACGGGAGGCAGCAGUAGGGAAUCUUCCGCAAUGGGCGAAAGCCUGACGGAGCAACGCCGCGUGAGUGAUGAAGGUCUUCGGAUCGUAAAACUCUGUUAUUAGGGAAGAACAUAUGUGUAAGUAACUGUGCACAUCUUGACGGUACCUAAUCAGAAAGCCACGGCUAACUACGUGCCAGCAGCCGCGGUAAUACGUAGGUGGCAAGCGUUAUCCGGAAUUAUUGGGCGUAAAGCGCGCGUAGGCGGUUUUUUAAGUCUGAUGUGAAAGCCCACGGCUCAACCGUGGAGGGUCAUUGGAAACUGGAAAACUUGAGUGCAGAAGAGGAAAGUGGAAUUCCAUGUGUAGCGGUGAAAUGCGCAGAGAUAUGGAGGAACACCAGUGGCGAAGGCGACUUUCUGGUCUGUAACUGACGCUGAUGUGCGAAAGCGUGGGGAUCAAACAGGAUUAGAUACCCUGGUAGUCCACGCCGUAAACGAUGAGUGCUAAGUGUUAGGGGGUUUCCGCCCCUUAGUGCUGCAGCUAACGCAUUAAGCACUCCGCCUGGGGAGUACGACCGCAAGGUUGAAACUCAAAGGAAUUGACGGGGACCCGCACAAGCGGUGGAGCAUGUGGUUUAAUUCGAAGCAACGCGAAGAACCUUACCAAAUCUUGACAUCCUUUGACAACUCUAGAGAUAGAGCCUUCCCCUUCGGGGGACAAAGUGACAGGUGGUGCAUGGUUGUCGUCAGCUCGUGUCGUGAGAUGUUGGGUUAAGUCCCGCAACGAGCGCAACCCUUAAGCUUAGUUGCCAUCAUUAAGUUGGGCACUCUAAGUUGACUGCCGGUGACAAACCGGAGGAAGGUGGGGAUGACGUCAAAUCAUCAUGCCCCUUAUGAUUUGGGCUACACACGUGCUACAAUGGACAAUACAAAGGGCAGCGAAACCGCGAGGUCAAGCAAAUCCCAUAAAGUUGUUCUCAGUUCGGAUUGUAGUCUGCAACUCGACUACAUGAAGCUGGAAUCGCUAGUAAUCGUAGAUCAGCAUGCUACGGUGAAUACGUUCCCGGGUCUUGUACACACCGCCCGUCACACCACGAGAGUUUGUAACACCCGAAGCCGGUGGAGUAACCUUUUAGGAGCUAGCCGUCGAAGGUGGGACAAAUGAUUGGGGUGAAGUCGUAACAAGGUAGCCGUAUCGGAAGGUGCGGCU